rnacentral:lncRNA from 1 species
GGCUGGUGGUGUUUUUCUAGGAUCAUGUAUCCUCCAAAAAAUGGGGUGGGAUCCACAAGUGUCUACCCUUAAUUUGGGCCCAUCAUGUUUUUGCCAAAAUUUGGCCUAAGGUGCACAAACUUGUCUAAAAAAAACUAGACUAGUAAAUUACAAUUUUGAUUAAAAGUUAAAUGCCUAAUUGUAGAGUCUUUAAUUAAUUUGUCUCCAUCCCAAUGCUCCAAAAUAUGUCUCCAAUAUUUUCCCU